rnacentral:misc_RNA from 1 species
AGAUGUUUUAACUCGCAUAAACCUGAAAUUAUUUAUUUGUGAAAUGUAUUAGUACAAAUCUAAUAUAUGUCUAUCAAAUGUCAUUGUGUAAGUGGUUAAUUAAAAAAAAAAAAGUUUGUUUUCAAAUAUAUUUUCAAAAUUUUUGAUAAAAUGAUACCCAGAACAUUGCCCAUUAAUGUUUUAAUUGAAAAUAUUUUAAUAU